CUUUCCAGCCUCACGCCCGUGGGCUGCAGUUGGAACGAUGGCGGCGGCAGCUGCCGCCGGGCCUAGCCCGGGGUCUGGACCUGGGGACUCCCCAGAAGGGCCCGAGGGGGAGGCUCCGGAGCGUCGGCGGAAGGCGCACGGGAUGCUGAAGCUUUACUACGGCCUCUCGGAAGGGGAGGCGGCGGGACGCCCCGCGGGGCCCGACCCCCUGGACCCGACUGAUCUGAACGGGGCGCACUUCGACCCGGAAGUUUACCUAGACAAGCUGCGUAGAGAGUGCCCUCUGGCCCAGUUGAUGGACAGUGAGACGGACAUGGUGCGGCAGAUCCGGGCUCUAGACAGCGACAUGCAGACCCUGGUCUAUGAGAACUACAACAAGUUCAUCUCAGCCACAGACACCAUCCGGAAGAUGAAGAACGAUUUCCGGAAGAUGGAGGAUGAGAUGGACCGGCUGGCCACCAACAUGGCAGUGAUCACCGACUUCAGCGCUCGCAUCAGCGCCACGCUGCAGGACCGCCACGAGCGCAUCACCAAGCUGGCAGGGGUCCACGCGCUGCUGCGGAAGCUGCAGUUCCUCUUUGAGCUGCCCUCGCGCCUCACCAAGUGCGUGGAACUGGGCGCCUAUGGGCAGGCGGUGCGCUACCAGGGCCGCGCGCAGGCCGUGCUGCAGCAGUACCAACACCUGCCCUCGUUCCGCGCCAUCCAGGACGACUGCCAGGUCAUCACGGCCCGCCUGGCCCAGCAGCUGCGGCAGCGCUUUAGGUGGAGGGCGGCUCAGGCGCCCCGGAGCAGGCAGAGUGCGUGGAGCUGCUGCUGGCCCUGGGCGAGCCUGCGGAGGAGCUGUGCGAGGAGUUCCUGGCGCACGCCCGCGGCCGGCUGGAGAAGGAGCUGAGAAACCUGGAGGCCGAGCUGGGGCCCUCACCUCCGGCUCCCGACGUGUUAGAGUUCACCGACCAUGGAGGCAGUGGCUUCGUGGGCGGCCUCUGCCAGGUGGCGGCGGCCUACCAGGAGCUGUUUGCGGCCCAGGGCCCAGCAGGUGCCGAGAAGCUGGCGGCCUUCGCCCGGCAGCUGGGCAGCCGCUAUUUUGCGCUGGUGGAGCGGCGGCUGGCGCAGGAGCAGGGUGGUGGUGACAACUCACUGCUGGUGCGGGCGCUGGACCGCUUCCACCGGCGCUUGCGGGCUCCCGGGGCCCUGCUGGCCGCUGCCGGGCUCGCAGACGCUGCCACGGAGAUCGUGGAACGAGUGGCCCGCGAGCGCCUGGGCCACCACCUGCAGGGUCUCCGGGCGGCCUUCCUGGGCUGCCUGACAGACGUCCGCCAGGCGCUGGCAGCACCUCGCGUGGCUGGGAAGGAGGGCCCUGGCCUGGCCGAGUUGCUGGCCAAUGUGGCCAGCUCCAUCCUGAGCCACAUUAAGGCCUCUCUGGCAGCAGUGCACCUUUUCACCGCCAAAGAGGUGUCCUUCUCCAACAAGCCCUACUUCCGGGGUGAGUUCUGCAGUCAGGGUGUCCGUGAGGGCCUCAUCGUGGGCUUCGUCCACUCUAUGUGCCAGACGGCUCAGAGCUUCUGCGACAGCCCUGGGGAGAAGGGGGGUGCCACACCACCUGCCCUGCUCCUGCUGCUCUCCCGCCUCUGCCUGGACUACGAGACGGCCACCAUCUCCUACAUCCUCACUCUCACUGAUGAACAGUUUCUGGUGCAGGAUCAGUUCCCAGUGACGCCCGUGAGCACGCUGUGUGCAGAGGCCAGGGAAACGGCGCGGCGGCUGCUGACCCACUACGUGAAGGUGCAGGGCCUGGUCAUAUCACAGAUGCUGCGCAAGAGCGUGGAGACUCGCGACUGGCUCAGCACUCUGGAGCCCCGGAAUGUGCGGGCCGUCAUGAAGCGGGUGGUGGAGGAUACCACCGCCAUCGACGUGCAGGUGGGGCUCCUGUACGAAGAGGGUGUUCGCAAGGCCCAGAGCAGCGACUCCAGCAAGAGGACUUUCUCCGUGUACAGCAGCUCUCGGCAGCAGGGCCGCUACGCCCCCAGCUAUACCCCCAGUGCCCCGAUGGACACCAACCUCUUGAGCAAUAUCCAGAAGCUAUUCUCUGAACGUAUUGAUGUGUUCAGCCCUGUGGAGUUCAACAAGGUGUCGGUGCUGACCGGCAUCAUCAAGAUCAGCCUGAAGACGCUGCUGGAGUGUGUGCGGCUGCGCACCUUUGGGCGCUUCGGGCUGCAGCAGGUGCAAGUGGACUGCCACUUUCUGCAGCUCUACCUGUGGCGUUUUGUGGCCGACGAAGAACUCGUGCACUUGCUGCUGGACGAAGUGGUGGCCUCUGCUGCCCUGCGCUGCCCAGACCCUGUGCCCAUGGAGCCCAGUGUGGUUGAGGUCAUCUGCGAGCGCGGCUAGGCGCAGCCGCUGCCAUGCACCGGUCUGUCCCUGCACCCCAUGGCACCCAGGAUCUGGUCUCGGUGGUCCUUCCCCGCAGGCAGGUGUCAGGACCGGCCUAAUAAACAUGUGUGGCCUCCUCCUCUCGCUUGCUGGGCGGGCCUUUCCGGGGGCGGGGUUUUGAAGCUGAGGCUUCUGAGGCGCCCGCGUCGGGUCCGCCCCCGAGCGCCGAUUGGCUGGUGUGCUGGGCCCAGCAUGGGCAGGGGGCGGUUCCACUUAAAAACCCUGGGACGAGA